UGCCGGGCCCGCCUCGCUGGGGUCGGCCCCCUCCCUUCGGGGGCGGGGCUCCAUCUCUUGGGUACUACACCCCCUCCCCCCCCACUGGGUCUUAGUCCUUUAAAUUCUUGGAAUCACUUUUGGGGCGUUAGAGACCCUGGAGCCGCACAGCGGGGUCCUGGGGGGCUAUAGAGUGGGGUCCUCUGGGCACUUAAUGAGAUUUGGGGGGUUCCGUUGAAAUGUUGCUGGGAGCUCAACUGGAAUCUAAAAGUUCUUCGGGAAGGUGAAGGCCAGGCACGCCGAGGUGAAUAACUGUUCUCCGGGUGGUGCUCACCCCAGUGGGGAGACUUCCAGGUGCCCCAGGAUCUCAGUUCCUGGGCUCUCAGAACAGAGGUCGGAGAACGCAGGGCCACCCUUUCCCUGCAGGGAGGAAGUCCCUCUCAACUUUCUCUUGUCAUCCUCUGGGCCUGUCCUAAAUAGAGGGGUACCAGGAGGCCCUUCUGGAGGUCCUCGUGCCAGACCCCUGGGGCUGGGCAGGCGGAAAGAGGUCUGAACUGCCUCUGCCUCCUUGGUCUCCGGCAGGGGGAGAAGCGAGCGGACAUCCAGCUGAACAGCUUCGGUUUCUACACCAAUGGCUCCCUGGAGGUGGAGUUGAGCCUCCUGCGGCUGGGCCUCCGGGAGGCAGAAGAGAAGUCCCUGCUGGUGGGGUUCAGUCUCAGCCGGGUUCGAUCUGGCAGAGUUCACACCUAUUCAACCCGGGAUUUCCAGGACUGCCCUCUCCAGAAAAACAGUAGCAGUUUCCUGGUCCUGUUCCUCAUCAACACCAAGGAUCUGCA
rnacentral:sRNA from 1 species